UACAGGGGGGGCAAGCGUUGUUCGGAAUUACUGGGCGUAAAGGGCCUGUAGGCGGCUAACUAAGUCAGACGUGAAAUCCCUCAGCUUAACUGGGGAACUGCGUCUGAUACUGGAUGGCUCGAGUGUGGGAGAGGAAUGCGGAAUUCCAGGUGUAGCGGUGAAAUGCGUAGAUAUCUGGAGGAACACCGGUGGCGAAGGCGGCAUUCUGGGCCAUAACUGACGCUGAGAGACGAAAGCCAGGGGAGCAAACGGG
rnacentral:rRNA from 1 species